CUAACAUUUUGUGUGGAAGGGGUAUUUUUACAAGUGCUAUAUUUGCAAAAGAAAUUCCCGCUCUUUCACUCCAAGUCGGUUGAUUUCCCUCCUCUUUCUUGUAUCCAAAUGGCGCGGGUUUCAAUUGAAAUAAUUGUCUCUCUAAAAUACUACAAAGUGAAAGGUAAAUCUGCUACUAAACAAAACAGGCAAAGCUUAACAACAAUACCGUUAGGGUUCCUUUGGCUUCUCUUCUGAAAGCUUCAAUGGCUUCUUUUUCCUCAAGAAGUUCCUGCUUUCAUUGUGAAGAAUCAACGUCAGAUAAUUUCAGAAAUGGUUGGCGUCUUCGCAGUUGCAAAUUCGCUCAGCUCUGUCAUCUUUGCGCUUCUGUAUAUGAGGCCGAUAGGUUUUGCGAGACUUUCCAUAGAAGAGAUGAUGGCUGGAGAUAUUGUGAGUCAUGUGGCAAGUUGAGUGGAAAAAGUUGGUCCAUUGUGGAUGUAUUGUAUCAUUCAACGCAUAUCUGCUGUUGGAUUUUGGUGGAAUUAUGUGCAUGGAGUGCUCUAAGAAGAAUUUCGUUCUUGCACGGAACCAUUGCUUGUCUCAUGAACGUCGAGUGCCACCUGGAGAAUCUCUGCUGGUCCCAGCAAAACUUGGUAUCGCCGGUUGCAUCCCUCCCGCUAAUGCAGCAUGCAUUUUUUGACUGAGAUUAGUGAUAGAAUAUCCUUUUGAUCUAUGAUGACCAUUAGUGAAUUAGUUGAUCAUAGUACAGUCAAACCUUUCUAUAACAACAUCCCUAUAUAACACUUCUCCAUAAAAGCCAAGCUUUUCGGAAUCAAUUUUUAUAUUAUGUUAUAAUAUAUGUUCUCUAUAACAGACUUCGCUAUAACAUCCAAAAAUAUUCAGAACAAACGAGGCUGUUAUAGAGAAGUUUGACUGUAGUAUAAGUAGUUUUCAAGCUAAAGGAGGUUAGUUGCAUGUUCAAGUUCAUUGGAGUACCAUUUAAGUUUUAAGAAAACAAUCUGAAGAUGAUAUAUUCCUACUUCCUUUUACUCGUGCAUGGGACAUUAUCAUCGUACCCUGACCAGUAGUUGUUUGGUUUUGUAGUUACUUUUUAUCGAAUUGAACCAGGAAAGAAAUUGUUCAUGGGAUUAAGGAAAAGUUCUGCUGGUUCUACCACCUCAUAGGUUUCAGCUCGAUGUCCUGGAACAGGACUGGCUACACUUCAAUGCAUUUGGCUAUGUAUCCAGGGAAGCUGUUGGUGUUAUCUGUGCAAACUAUCCAAACAUUUUAGCAGAUCAAUGUCUAGUCAAACCGAUGCCUGUUUGAAUAUGUAAAGGUUUCUCUGUUGUUUCCCACAAGUUUCUGCAUGUAAAGAACAACAACAACAACAACAUACCCAGUGUAUUCCCACAAGUGGAGUUUGGGGAGGGUAAUGUGUAUGCAGACCUUACCCCUACUUUGUGGCGGUAGAAAGACCGUUUCUGAUAGGCUCUCGGCUCAAGAAAAGCAGUUCUAAGCAUGAUUCUGCAUGUAAAGAAGUCAUAAUUUUUUUGAACCUAUAUUCAAGUAUGAAGAGCAGUAGAUAGCCUUCAGAAAAGAGUCUCAAACUGUUUUAGUUCCUCCUCUUUGACCUAAUAUUAGUUUCAUCUAUUCCCCAUUUUAAAUCUGUUGCAGCAAAGGAGGGGCAGAAAUGCAUCCAAGUUUGGAGGGAGUCAAAGUGAUCAUGAGCAUGUCGUAGACCCUCUCUGCUUUUUCGUCUUCCCGGGAAUGAAGACUUUAUAAAACAAAUGAUUUUUCUUUAAUACUAUUUUUUUUCAUUUUUGU